rnacentral:rRNA from 1 species
UGGGGAAUUUUGGACAAUGGGCGCAAGCCUGAUCCAGCCAUGCCGCGUGCGGGAAGAAGGCCUUCGGGUUGUAAACCGCUUUGUCAGGGAAGAAAUCUUCUGAGUUAAUACCUCGGGAGGAUGACGGUACCUGAAGAAUAAGCACCGGCUAACUACGUGCCAGCAGCCGUGGUAAUACGUAGGGUGCAAGCGUUAAUCGGAAUUACUGGGCGUAAAGCGUGCGCAGGCGGUUUUGUAAGACAGAGGUGAAAUCCCCGGGCUCAACCUGGGAACUGCCUUUGUGACUGCAAGGCUUGAGUGCGGCAGAGGGGGAUGGAAUUCCGCGUGUAGCAGUGAAAUGCGUAGAUAUGCGGAGGAACACCGAUGGCGAAGGCAAUCCCCUGGGCCUGCACUGACGCUCAUGCACGAAAGCGUGGGGAGCAAACAGGAUUAGAUACCCCUGGUAGUCCACGCCCUAAACGAUGUCAACUGGUUGUUGGGAAGGUUCCUUCUCAGUAACGUAGCUAACGCGUGAAGUUGACCGCCUGGGGAGUACGGCCGCAAGGUUAAAACUCAAAUGAAUUGACGGGGUCAUAGCUGUUU